CACAUUUACAAAAUUUUCGUGUCCUCGCUGAGCCACUCACUUUUCUUUCUCCUCUCGCCUUCGUUCCUCUUUCUCCUCUCACCUUCGUUUCUAGGGUUACACCUCCCAGUCGUCGGCCUGAUCGCCUCCAUCCUCAAUUGCUUCCCAUCGACGGCCUUCCAUCGCUUCCCAACGUCGGCCUUUCAUCGCUUUCCAUCGUCGGCCUUCCAUCGCUUCCAAGUAUUUUUAAUUUUGGCGAUGAUUACGUCUUUCAAAUCACUUCCAAGAAAGAUUAGUCGGCCAUGGCGGUUUCGUUGUCGAACAAUUUGGUGAAGCUUUAGUCGCCGGAAACUGGGCAAUAUAUUGGGGAGUGUCGAGGUCUUCAUCGCCGCAUCUGUUGCUUUCUUUCUCCUCCGAUGCCAGAAUUCUUCAACAGCCAAGAGAACCAAGACGGUCGGUAUUGUCGGGAAAUACGGAAGGGCGCCCAAGUUUGAACAAGCUGUUGAUUAUAUUAAAGAGCAGCUGCUUAUAUUAAAGAGCAGCUGGAGUUGCUUAAGAAUCGAGCCAACUCGAACUUUAGGGAUCUUGCUUAAAUGAAGAAUUUGAUUCGUAGAUUGGUUAUGGCAGCACAUACUUGGGGAAUUAUUAUUUGUCUGGAUGAAACUAAAACCUUGGAAUAUAGUCAGGUGGUUGUGCAAGUUUCAGGCGCAAGAUUUAGGGAUGUUGGUAAUCAACUCCUCACCUGCAUUGGCUAUGACUGCGUCAUGUUUCCUCAUAAAGGAAAGAGGCACCAAAUUUACAAGCCUUGCAACAAACUCCACUAAAAGAGAAGCAAAAGUUGCUGAAUUGAAAGACAUGAAGGCCAUUGAGUCCUACCAGGUGCAACCUCAAGCUUUUAAUAGCCGGCCUGCUUUUACAGCUCCCUAACCACAUCAGCCGCCGCCUCUACCACCAGUAGUUUCGGUCUGUUUUCGUGUUUAGCAUUCAUCUUCAGUAUGUUCUGAAUUAUUUUAAUGUAUCAAUUUUCAUUUUUGCA